GUGAGUCUACAUUAUGACAUCAAAGUUUUAGUCACAUAAACACAGAGUUAAAUACCAACUGUCCAUCAAAUACAGAACACACAAAACUGUUAAAUCUGUACUGUAAGAAAAACUCACUCAGGUUACUCAUCAUUGAAAAAACAAAGGAGUUUAGUUUUUACUCUGUAUUUAACCGUCAAAGUGAACAGUCUGCUUUGUCUCUGUAACAUCGUUUAUCUUAAUUAUUCUGUAAUUAUAAAUUGAAAAUGUUGCUCGUCCAAUCAGAAAAUGUAACUAUUUCCACUUAGUAGCUUCUAUUUUUUGCAUAGACUGCACCAAAUAUGCCCCUUGGGAUCAAUACUCUCCACAUUUUAAAAAAUUAUAAUCCAAUAAAAUAAACAAUGGUGCAAGUUGCUUACAUUCAAGAAACAUGGGAAAAGUAGUGUCUAUUUCCCUCAAGAAAGAAAGGAAGAAAGAAGAAAAGAAAGGAAGAAAGAAAGAGUAUUCAGAGGAUACAUGCUGUUUCCAUUAACUCCUGUGAAAAUGGUGAUGGCAGCUGCUGGCCCCAUGAGGUCAUCCUUCAGGCUCGGAUGGAGGACACAGGUCUGUACCCCCCAUACUGACCCCAAGCCAACACAGAGAGAAACAAAGACUGAUUGGAAGAAAAACAGAGAGUGGGUGAGCACCAUUUAUCUGUUCAACAAUGCGCAGACUUUGUAAUUAAGCCAAUCAUGAUCCUGAAUAAAUCCCGUCUCCCUUUCGCUGAAUCCAACAGCAACCGCACGGAUCCAUCUGGACGGUUGCAGGCUGGGGAAAACGCUGCGCUGGGGUCUGUUUGUGGUUUCUGUUGCACACCAAAAAGGCAGAGAGGAACACGAUGCCAACCUGUUAGCAAUCAGACCCGGUGGCUUAUUAACUGCAUUUAGGAAAAUAUAAAGCACACUCACAAAUCAAUUAAUUACAUCAUACAGCGCUGUGGGUUUGGCUUUACACCAAAGUAACAGAUUUCCUCUUUUCAUUCACCAUUUUUAAAUUAAUUUUGAGUAUGCUGCAUUUGGAGCCAGUUAGCUCACAAAUUGUGAGCUUAUAGAUCUAGUUUCAGAUUUGUAUAAAUGAAAAUUAAAUGACAAACACCAGGCACAGCUGUCUUCAUGUUUUCACUCCAAAUGAUGCCGUCAUCUUUGUUUUUUGUGUCGCAUCUCUCGUGCAUGCAUCUUGGAGAGAUCCAAAGGAUCUGACGUAUAGUGAGAGGAUUGAGUUAUAAAUUAAAGGCUCAUUUUGAGCAGGAUGUAUCUGUUUUUUAAAUCACAAGUAAUAGAGUGGACAUUCUGUUUGUAAGUGGUACAAACAGUUCCCUGCUGAUGUUUUGAGAACAGAAAUAAUCAUAAAUUAUGAUCCCAGAUGUAGCCCAUGUUAUGCUGCAUACGCACAAUUUGUUUGAAAUGUUUUGUAACAGAGGUAGUUCUUCAAACUUGGCGUGCAACAAUCAACUGGUCCUGAUUUUUUUCAUUUUGGGAGGCGGACAAUCAGCUGAUCCUUAUUCGGAAAAAGUGUCUGACUUUUCAGACAAUAAAAUCAAUAUCAGAAAGCUGCAAUUGGAAAUCCCCUGAUUAAAACCUGUUAUUAAAAUUUAAGUUACUUCUUUCACACGUUGUAGCAGAAGCCAUAAUACGAACUAAUAACUUUAACAACACAUUUUAUUUAGGACACAGUACAGAUCAAGCAGCAUAUAGUAAACAAAGGCACUUCGUUCUUGAAGGCCGAGCUAAGUCCGACCAGGCGUUUUGCGCAGCUGAAUGGUUGUCAUGGAGAUUAAAGGAUUUCUUAAACAUGCAUGAAAGAAUCAAGGCAACAUUACAGGUAUGAUUUGGAUGAGGAAAUAAUAUUAUAACAUGAUGUAAAACUCAAAAACGUCUAUUUUAUGUGAUCCAGCCUCUUUAAAGAACUAGAUAUUUGUAAAAAAAAAAAAAAAGAAGAAAAAAUGCAUUUAAUGAAGUACAAAUGAAUGGUGUGCCUUUUCUUUAAAUGUGUAAAGUAACACCUUUUACAAAGAUAACUGACGAAACAGUUUUUAAUCUAAGUCAUUUUUCUAAAUCCACAUUU